rnacentral:rRNA from 1 species
AGAGUUUGAUCCUGGCUCAGGACGAACGCUGGCGGCGCGCCUAACACAUGCAAGUCGAACGAGCGAGAGAGAGCUUGCUUUCUCGAGCGAGUGGCGAACGGGUGAGUAACGCGUGAGGAACCUGCCUCAAAGAGGGGGACAACAGUUGGAAACGACUGCUAAUACCGCAUAAGCCCACGGCUCGGCAUCGAGCAGAGGGAAAAGGAACAAUCCGCUUUGAGAUGGCCUCGCGUCCGAUUAGCUAGUUGGUGAGGUAACGGCCCACCAAGGCGACGAUCGGUAGCCGGACUGAGAGGUUGAACGGCCACAUUGGGACUGAGACACGGCCCAGACUCCUACGGGAGGCAGCAGUGGGGAAUAUUGCACAAUGGGGGAAACCCUGAUGCAGCGACGCCGCGUGGAGGAAGAAGGUCUUCGGAUUGUAAACUCCUGUUGUUGGGGAAGAUAAUGACGGUACCCAACAAGGAAGUGACGGCUAACUACGUGCCAGCAGCCGCGGUAAAACGUAGGUCACAAGCGUUGUCCGGAAUUACUGGGUGUAAAGGGAGCGCAGGCGGGAAGACAAGUUGGAAGUGAAAUCUAUGGGCUCAACCCAUAAACUGCUUUCAAAACUGUUUUUCUUGAGUAGUGCAGAGGUAGGCGGAAUUCCCGGUGUAGCAGUGGAAUGCGUAGAUAUCGGGAGGAACACCAGUGGCGAAGGCGGCCUACUGGGCACCAACUGACGCUGAGGCUCGAAAGUGUGGGUAGCAAACAGGAUUAGAUACCCUGGUAGUCCACACCGUAAACGAUGAUUACUAGGUGUUGGAGGAUUGACCCCUUCAGUGCCGCAGUUAACACAAUAAGUAAUCCACCUGGGGAGUACGACCGCAAGGUUGAAACUCAAAGGAAUUGACGGGGGCCCGCACAAGCAGUGGAGUAUGUGGUUUAAUUCGACGCAACGCGAAGAACCUUACCAAGUCUUGACAUCCCUUGACAGACAUAGAAAUAUGUAAUCUCUUCGGAGCAAGGAGACAGGUGGUGCAUGGUUGUCGUCAGCUCGUGUCGUGAGAUGUUGGGUUAAGUCCCGCAACGAGCGCAACCCUUAUGGUCAGUUACUACGCAAGAGGACUCUGGCCAGACUGCCGUUGACAAAACGGAGGAAGGUGGGGAUGACGUCAAAUCAUCAUGCCCUUUAUGACUUGGGCUACACACGUACUACAAUGGCGUUAAACAAAGAGAAGCAAGACCGCGAGGUGGAGCAAAACUCAGAAACAACGUCCCAGUUCGGACUGCAGGCUGCAACUCGCCUGCACGAAGUCGGAAUUGCUAGUAAUCGUGGAUCAGCAUGCCACGGUGAAUACGUUCCCGGGCCUUGCACACACCGCCCGUCA